GCGCAGCAGUCGAGAAUUUUUCACAAUGGGCGAAAGCCUGAUGGAGCGACGCCGCGUGGGGGAUGAAGGGCUUCGGCCCGUAAACCCCUGUCAUUUGCGAACAAACCUUUUACUAUUGAACAGAUGAAAAGACUGAUUGUAGCGAAAGAGGAAGGGACGGCUAACUCUGUGCCAGCAGCCGCGGUAAUACAGAGGUCCCAAGCGUUGUUCGGAUUCACUGGGCGUAAAGGGUGCGUAGGUGGUGGGGUAAGUUUGAUGUGAAAUCUCCGAGCUUAACUCGGAAAUGGCAUUGAAUACUACUUUGCUAGAGGGUCGGAGGGGAGGACUGGAAUUUUCGGUGUAGCAGUGAAAUGCGUGGAUAUCGAAAGGAACACCAGUGGCGAAAGCGAGUCUCUGGACGACUCCUGACACUGAGGCACGAAAGCUAGGGGAGCAAACAGGAUUAGAUACCCGUGUAGU
rnacentral:rRNA from 1 species